AUGACAGGGAAUCAUGAAGAUAGGAAGUAUCAGAGAAGAUUCGGUGCUUACCUUCAACAUUUUCGGAGAUGUGCAAAAGCGAAUACCAGAGGAGAGAAUUUGGCUCUGAUUACAGAUCCACAGCCAAUUUGCAGAACUCCUCAAAUGCCACAAAUGCUAGCUUUGGAUGCUGUUUUUUGUGGUAAUAGUUAUACCGUAACACGGCUGAGUGCACAUGCUUUGAAACUCUCUACUGUUGAGAUAAUGGAGGAUCAUCACCAGUAG